AAAUUGAAGAGUUUGAUCAUGGCUCAGAUUGAACGCUGGCGGCAGGCCUAACACAUGCAAGUCGAGCGGAAACGAGUUGUCUGAACCUUCGGGGGACGAUAACGGCGUCGAGCGGCGGACGGGUGAGUAAUGCCUAGGAAAUUGCCCUGGUGUGGGGGAUAACCAUUGGAAACGAUGGCUAAUACCGCAUGAUGCCUACGGGCCAAAGAGGGGGACCUUCGGGCCUCUCGCGUCAGGAUAUGCCUAGGUGGGAUUAGCUAGUUGGUGAGGUAAGGGCUCACCAAGGCGACGAUCCCUAGCUGGUCUGAGAGGAUGAUCAGCCACACUGGAACUGAGACACGGUCCAGACUCCUACGGGAGGCAGCAGUGGGGAAUAUUGCACAAUGGGCGCAAGCCUGAUGCAGCCAUGCCGCGUG
rnacentral:rRNA from 1 species